rnacentral:lncRNA from 1 species
GAGCUAUAAUGGGAACUCCUAACUUAGAAAUUCUUAAUCAUGGCUCACCACUCUGAUACCUGAACGGAGUUUAACCCUGAUUAUGUAUCUCACUUCAGCAACACUGCCUGUCUUAAAACCAAUGGUUCUUAACCUUUUGGGGGGUCAUAGAGUGACAGGCAUAGCUAACUGUCUACCCACAGUCAUGCCCUCCAUCUUUGCUAAAAAAACUUUGGUUUUAUUCAGGUCAUGCACUUAGGGGAGACUGGGCUCCUUCCCAGAUCCAGAGGGUGAACCAUUGUGAUUUCAUCUAAACUAAUCAUGUGGUCUCAUUUCUCUUGACAGGGAUUGGUUGAGGCAUAGGAAUGUGACCAAUCCAUUCAAUGGCAUGUGAGGGGAAAUCUGCUUCAGAGCUUCUGUGGGUUUUCUCACUGGUAAGAUGAUGCAUGGAGGGGGAAAUAAUUUCCUCUUAUAUCUUAGGAUACUGUCGUCAGUAUAUGAGGUCAAAAACUGCAGUAGCCAUGUUAUAAACAUGAUGGAAGCCAAACUGAGAGGGAAUCCAACACACUGAAGGUGGCACAGCAGAAAGAUGGAACUAACAAUGGUCUCUGAUGAUAAAGUCAAGUCACUGAAUUAACCAACCCUAAAACUGAAGUACCUCUGGACUUGUUAUAUGGAACAUCCUUAUCCUUUAAGCCAUCUUAGCUGGGCUUUCUGUAAUUUGCAGACAAAAGGCUCCUGACUGAUAGUGUAUUAGUUUGCUGGGUCUGUGGUAAUAAACUACCACAAACUGAGUGGCUUAAACAUCAGAAACUAUUGUAAAGUCCAAGAGCAAGGCAUCAGCAGGGUUGCUUCCUUCUGAGGGUUGUGAGGGAAGGAUCUGCUCCAGGCCUUUCUCCUUAGCUUUCAGACAGCUCUCAUCUCCCUCUGUCAAUGCACAUCAGCUUCCCACUAUGUAUGUCUGACUCUUGUGUUUAAAUCUCUCCCCCGCCCCACUUUUUUGUUUUGUUUUCUUUAAGGCAGCACUAGUGCUGAGCCACAAUGGGAACUCCUACUAAAUUUCCCACUUUUAAAGGCCCACCAGUCAUACUGAAUUAGGACCCACCCUAGCUACCUCAUUUUAACCAGAUUACCUCUGUAAAAACCCAAUUUUCCAAAUAAGUUCACAUUCUUAGGUACUAAAGGUUGGGACUCUGACGUAUCUUUUUUAGGGGGACAUAAUUCAACCCAUAACAGAGAGCUUUUAAAAAACCCAAUGAGGAGUUCCCAUCAUGGCUCAGUGGUUAACGAAUCAGACUAGGAACCAUGAGGUUGUGGGUUUGAUCCCUGGCCUCACUCAGUGGGUUAAAGAUCUGGCGUUUCAGUGAGCUGUGGUGUAGGUUGCAGAUGCGGCUCGGAUCCUGCAUUGCUGUGGCUCUGGUGUAGGCUGGCAGCUACAGCUCUGAUUCGACCCCUAGCCUGGAAACCUCCAUAUGCUGCGGGUGCAGCCCUAGAAAAGACAAAAACAAACAAACAAACAAACAAAAAAAAACCCAAUGAGGAAUGACCACUGUGGUGCAGAGGAAACGAAUCUGACUAGCAUCAGUGAGGACGCAGGUUCGAUCCCUGGCCUUGCUCAGUGGGGAUUGAACCUGUAACCUCAUAGUUCCUAGUUGGAUUCUUUCCACUACGCCACAAAGGGAACUCCAAAUCUUUCUUAUAAUUAAAAGAAAAUAUAUAAUCUACACUGAAAAUUACUAGUACAAAAAGAAAACACAUUUUAUUUGCAUUAAUCUGUUAAUGUUAAAUAAGGCUUAAAACUUACUCUAGUUGAGAUCUAACCACUGAGAAUGCAGAGUCUUUAAGUGCUCACUUCUGCUGCCCCAGCAGACCUAUGCUGUCAGGAAGGUUGGAAGGAGCUCUGGGGCCCAGCAACAUGGCAGGAAGCAAAGGUGAAGAAACUGGGAGGAAAACUAACUGUCUGGGUACAUCAAGGUAACUUCCAACUUCUGAAGGACUAAAAAUUAUGAAAUUUUGUGCUACUGGACUUUGAAGAAAAGAAGUUAAAAUCAUUAAGUGCUGUUUGUAAAUUGCGGCCAUCAGGUUAUGUAAGUUUAAUUUCUGCUCUCCAGAGAUAAAUAAGUUACCAGUAACGACAGGAUCAGUGAAUAGACAUUUUCCUUCCUUCUUACCUUUAAAGCCUGCUGCAAAACUAAGUUAAAUUAUGAAGUGAAGUGUCAUAAGAACAAGUCAUUUAAAAUUUGAUUAUUGAAAUACCUCUAAUUUAUUUAUUUUUAGUAAAGUAUAGUUGAUUUGCAAUGUGCCCAUUUCUGCUAUGCAGGGAAGUGACCCGGCCAUUCAUAGGUCAGUCACACAUUCCUUUUCUUAUAUCACCUUCCAAUCACAGGGAUCUUAAGAUACCUUCAAAGUUAAAACAAAGAAUUUGCAAAACCGCCACAAAUCCUUAAUCACUGAGACUAAUAAAUUACACAUUUUUUUCUUCCACAGAAAAUCCUCAGAGACACACAUAUAGUCACAUAUAUAGAAUCACAGUGAGUGAUAACAAAAAUGUAACUCUGCCUGGGUGAAAAGGAAGACAUUAGAAGGGGAGGGUGGGAUGUGAAAUGGCCUUGACAGAUAAGCAUACGUUUUUUCCAGAUAAAACUGGAGAGAAAGGACUAGGUCAAAGUUAUUGGCAAAAUCCUUUAGUGAAGGCCUGAGGAGUCUGAAUUCUAUCCUGUAGGACCCAAGGAACCAAAGAAUUUUAAUAAGAAGGAGAGUAUGACAUAACUAGCUUUAUUUUAAAAGAAGUAUCUGUGGUAGCAGACAGUAGACUUUUUCACCAUUGACUAAUAGCAACUAACAAAGCCACACACCUAACAGAUGCUCAGUUAAUACUUGUCGAUUGACUGAAGCCUUAGGAAAGGGUUAUCAGAACUGUAGGUUGAAACAUAAACAAGAGUUAGUCCAAAAAGACAAUCCUGGGUAUUCACAUAAAGAAAUAGCAGUAUUUAUGGCUUAAUGCUUGUUGAGUUUUGUUGUUGUUAUUGCUAUUACUCAAAAACGGGUAUUAUAAUCUGUAACCAAAUGAUACCAAUUCUUCUUUUUCUACAUUAAUAUGACUUUAAAAUGGGAGGACAAAGCAAAUCAAUAACCUUAUCUAGAGGAAAUAAAGCCAAGUAAAAUCACAUCUAAAACAUCAAUUUUUAUUUCAGUCUGUAAGCCCUUCUCUUGCUUGCCUGUACAGCCUCCAAUCAUCCCUGAAAUACAAGCACUUGGGCUCUUCUGGACCCACCAGUUAAGGGGAGGGAACAUUUAUCUACCGUCAAUUCAUGGGACACUAAUCUCCUUCCCACUCCUCUGAUUACAAGCAAGCAGGGUGCUUGAGGAAAGGCCACAACAGAAGCUUUAAAAAUAAAUAAAUAAACCCAGUCCCUUCUGCUCCAGGAAUACAGAAAAGAUUGGCAUUAAUACAAGAGAAAGUGAUCUGCCCAAACAAAAGCCAAUCUGAAGGAGGAGCAAACCCCACAAGCUAGCCUGGCAUUAUUGCUAGGAAGAUAGCACACUUGUUAAAAAUGUAUAUUUUAAUUUUCUGUAUUGCAAAAGGCCCCAAUUUGCCCAGGGAUCUAGCUAAGCUGCCAUUUUCUACUACGACAGAGUCUAAUCUUUAUUUAAUGGAUUUAGCAUCUAUCUUUACUAGAGUGGUCUCUAAGGAAAAGGGGAGGGGAGAAUGAGGGGGCAGAAAAGAGAUGAUCAGAUCCCCCUCCCCCUUUCAUCCAUCCGGCGCUCAUGUUUGUGUUCAAAAUUCAAUUACCUCCUUAUUGAUACUUCACAGAGAUAUUUAAGCUGCAAACAUGAAGCCCUGAUUUCCCAAGGGGCCAUGCCCCUCUCUAUUUCACUGCUCUGCUUCCCCCUGGGUGAAUUCCUGAGGCGUCCAUAUUAAUAGGUAAUCAGUCACAAUUCAUUUAUUAAACAGCAAGCAAGGUUUAUCAGCCUGCCCUGAUUAGCCCGAAGAAACCACUGAAUUCCUAAUUUAUUUAUGGAAAUGUAAGUGUCUUUUUGAAUUCCAUUCAGGAGCUGCAGGAGUGUUGUGGUCUUAGCAUACUGCAAUUUAACAGGCAGCGCAAGCAGCAAGCAAGCUUUCCAGGAAGAAGAGGGGCUGCCUGCUACCAGAAGGCAGAGAGCCAGGGACAUACACUGCAGAGAAUCUUCUCUUGGCCACGGGAUUUGGGUCCACAUAAUCCUUGGAUUAGUACUUAUUUGAUUGCUUUCUGUUUACAUAAAAGAGUUUGAAAUGUUGUCACUAGGCAGCCAUUACUAUCCACUGUAACAAAAAUCAAUCUCAGGGAUGCUGCUUUUUGAUUGGCAGAAAAGUGGCCCUUAAUGGAGUAGAACUGAGGACCUCAGUGAGUUAAAAGACAAUCAUUCUUAGCAGAGUUAAAACCAACACCAGACUGGAAUACAAACCAAAAUCACUAAAAUAAUACUUUUCAAGCAUUCUUUUUAGAUUAGUAACUAAAACAGACCCUGUUUUAAUCUUAAAAUGUUCUAAGCCACAGAGACGAAACAGCUUUGCAUGUAAUUUCCACAAUUCUAAUCAAUUAACAAUUCACCCCAAAUUGCCCAUUACUAAUUAAAUGGCCAAUACAGAUUAAAUAAAGCUCUUAAGAGUAGCAUUAAAAUCCAUGCUAACUGCCCCAAUAGGUGCAAUUAGCAAAGAGACUGUUUCAGGGACAUGAGCAGAUCAUAUAACCUAGACUCAUGUUUUCAGCUGGAAUUAGGACUGGCUUCUUCUGGAAAAUAGUAUUUUCAAAUCCUAACCUACUUUCCUCAUAUAGUUCACUAUAAUUAAGAGCAACCUCCCCAUACAGCCUAGUGUAUGAAGUGAAAGGCAAACCGUAAUCAUGAGAAAAACAAAUUUCAGUUGACGGACACUCUACAGUGGACCUAACCAGUAUUCCUGAAAACUGUCAAGGCCAUCAACAACCAAAAAAGGUCUGAGAAACUGUCACAGCCAAGAGGAGCCCAUGAGCAGACAGGACUGCUAAAUGUAAUUAUGGCACCCCAGAAGGGACUCUAGAACAGAAAAGACAAUACAGGAAAAGUAUGGAAAUCUGAAUAAAGUAUGGGAAAAAGUGAAAAAGAAAAGUUCACUAGCUGUAACAAAUGCACCAUGAUGAGAGUAACAGGAUAAACUGGGUUUGGGAUAUAUGGAAACUCUCUUUCACGAUUUUCCUAUGAAUAUCUACAACUUGCAAAAUUUGAGAUUAAUUUAUAAAACAGAAAGUGACAAUCUACAAACUGAAUUAGGUGGCCAAAACAUGAAUAAGUAACUUUUAUAUUUUUACAAGAGAAGGUUUUGGAAAGUCAUUUUUCAUUAAUCUUUUUGAAAUACUGAAACAUUAAUAAAUGAAACUUUUCAUGUAUAUUUAUUUACAUCUGACACGAACAGCAAAAAUAUAUUUAGUUAUUAGUAUAUAUUUAGUUACCAAUUUUAAAUGUAUUCUCCAGAAAAUGUCAUCUCCAUGCAGUGACAAUUACAAUUAGCAUGGGAAAUUCCCAACACACACAUAUACACUCACUCAACAGAAAAGAUAAACUAGUUGUAAUAUUAAAAUAUAAUUGGGAAGGGUAUCUAUAAGGAAAAAAUCAAUAAAUCCUCAAACCAAUAUUAACACUCUUUAGAUUGUGUUAAUGUUACUACUCCUCUCCAUGAGUUUGAACCAUCAAGAAAUAACAGCAGGUGCUUUGGCUAAAAAUUAAAAACAGGGUCAGGUCAAGAGCACAAACUCUUCCCACUCCCAGCUAAAUAACCACAUGCAUUAGGAUUCUGUUAAUAAUUCCAAAGUGAAACAUAAUAAAAUUUCUUUUAAGGCCCAAUGUCUUUUUUUGAACUGUCCAAUACAUAAAAAUACUAUGUAUGGCUCUGCCUUUGACAACACUAGCUAUGGAAAAGUAAAAAAUGAAAUGUAUCACGGCAGGCAAAGCCUAACAUAAUACAGGAAACAGCUGUGGAGUCAGAGGAUUUCAGCUGUAGCUCUUGGGUUAGCCCAGACCUUCGCAAACUACGAGGUCACGGGUCCAACUUACUCUAGCACAGCUGUGUGUGCUAAGUGCUUUAAGUGUGGAAACUAUGCACUUAAAGCACUUAGCACAGUACCUAUUAGUAGGUACUCAUAUAAUUAUGGCUGUUGAAGCUAUUGUUUAUCAACGUUUCUCAGCAGGUAUCUGAUGAUGAUAGACAGAAAACCUGAGGAAACAAAAAGUUAAUUGGACAGUAUAAAAAUAACAUAGAGUCCUUGUGUCGAAUCCAUUAACAUUAACACAGGACCCUUGAAGAUAAUGCUCCUACUUGAUCCACUUAACAACCUCCAUGGAAAGCAAAGCAGGUAUUUAUCACCUAUGUUUCACAGAUGAGAAAAAGAAAAAUGAGGUAGGUUAAGUGAUUCACCCAAGGUCAAUAGCUAAUACCGAGCAAAGUCAGGACUUGAAUGGUUCUUCUGACUCCAACAUGAAGACCACACAACAGGGAUGUUUUGUUCUUUGGUUGAUAACUUUUUACUUCUCUGGUGUAGUACUCUAAUCCAUGUCAAAUUCCUUACAAGGAAAACCCCAUAAAGAAACCACAAGGUUUCUUAAACCCCGAUGUUUUCUUUAAAUGGUCUGUUUGAUUUGAUACAAACAAAUUUGUUAAGAGACUAUUUGAAUAGUCUCUCUCCUUUCAUAUUUCCUACAGAAAUCUCAAUAUGAAAAAAGAGAAAGACUCUUCAAAUAACAUUUGAUUUGUAUUAAAAUUACCAAAAAAAAUCACUUUAAUUUUUCUUUUAAUUUGUGCUCAAGUGCAACCCAAUUUCCUCAUUAAUAAAUUUUACCGACAUCUUUGUCCAAAGCAGUUUGUUAUUCUCACUCGUGACAUUUACAUAUUCCCACAUACAACACAGAAAAGAAAAAAAAAGAUAUGCCCAAAUCCUUCCUGAAUAUUCUAUCCAUUAACAUCCACUAAAAGCACUACUACAUUAAACAAACUUCCUCUUGUAGGUUAUCAUUCUGGGUUUUAUGUGGGAAAAUACGUCCUCUAGAUUUGUGGACCUUAUAUCUUGUUGGUUCAUUCAAUAUAAUAACACAUGAAACAAUGAGGGAAAAAAAUAUUAAAAUGUUCUUUUUGGUCUGCUUGUCCCAGCAUGUGACCCUUUAUCAGUCCUAUCGAAAAAAGUUGCUAAGAGUUAUUACCUCCCCAUCAUGUACUCAUACUUUAACUAAAAACUUCAAAGGGAACACUGCCAUCUACUGAAUCACAUUCACCGCCAUUCUUUCUCUAUUACAAUGACACCUCAUUUCAUGACCCUCUGGGAACAAAAAUUUUAACACUAAGGAUGUUUAUGUUAAAAGUUAACUUCUAACGUACAAGAAGUUGUAUAUAUUUACAGAUGCCCAUGACAAAAAUACCCCAGAAGACAAUUCUGAUUAUUCUUAUCUAAUAUAUAAGGCUUGCUCUAAGCAAUAUUUUGAUACUGGGGGUGGAGGGGAAGUUGGUUCCCUUCCUCUUCCCCAACUGUCUGGAAAACCUUCUUUCACGAGCUUCCAUAUGAAACCAGAAAGGCUGUGAGACCUAUCAUUUCAGUUUAAGGACAGACUGGCAAUUAGACUUUAGAGUGAAUCAGUUUCAAUUUUUAUCUCAGCCACUAUUUGUCUUAAAUUUUUUAAUUUUAAAAGUAUAAUAACUUAUAGAAAAAAGUAUAUAUCAUAAACAUACCUAUGAUACAUGAGGAAUUUCACAAAAUGAACACAUCUGUGUAACAACUAUAUGUCUAUAUAGAGAACCACUGCCAGCACCUCAGAAGACUCCCUCCUCAUGCCUCCUCCCAGAUACACCCAUGCCCCAAAUGCCACAACCAUUACUUUUAUUCAUAUCACCAUAGAUUAGCUUUGCUUAUUUUUAAAGUUACUAUAAAUGAUAUAAUACAUAAUCUUUGUGUCUAGCUUCAUUUAUUCAAAGUUAUGUUCCUAAGACUCACUUUUGUUGCAUGUGGCAAUAGUUUGUUCAUUUUCAUGGCUGUACAUAGUAUCCUAUUGUAUAAAAAUACCAUAAUUUACUUACUCAUUCUACUGUCAAGCUUUUGGACUGUUCUAGUUUGGGUCUAUUACGAAUAGUGCCAUUCUGAAUGCUUUUGUAUGCAUUUUUUGGUAUACAAAUGUUUACAAUUCUAUUUCUAGGGUAUAUAUCUAUCACUGGAAUUAUUGGGUCAUAGGUUAUAAGUAUGAUUAGUCUUAACAGAUACCGCUUAACAGUUUUCCAAAAUGUUGUACCAAUAAUCAUGUGCCAUUUAAACUCUCAUAUAUUUUUCAGCAAAGGGU